UACGUAGGGGGCUAGCGUUGUCCGGAAUUAUUGGGCGUAAAGGGCUCGUAGGCGGUUUGUCGCGUCGGGAGUGAAAUCCACUGGCUUAACUGGUGGCUUGCUUUCGAUACGGGCAGACUGGAGGUAUGCAGGGGAGAACGGAAUUCCUGGUGUAGCGGUGAAAUGCGCAGAUAUCAGGAGGAACACCGGUGGCGAAGGCGGUUCUCUGGGCCUUACCUGACGCUGAGGAGCGAAAGCAUGGGGAGCAAACAGG
rnacentral:rRNA from 1 species